UUUUUCUGAUAUAACGGAGAA
rnacentral:piRNA from 1 species